UUAAGUUCCAUUUAAAAAUAAAGCUUAAACAAUAGACAUGCUUACGUGAAUAGGGAAAGCUCAUCAGGCCUCAACUCUACACAAGGAACACCAGGAAACCAAGGGACACUGAGAGUGGGAGAAAUAGUCUUCCCCCGGGAGGAGCACACUGAUUGGUUAUACAACACCAAAUGGUCAGCCCUGAAAAACAUGGUAAGAGCGCCGCCAAAUAACUAACACAAGUGACAACCUGAACUCAGUGACAUCAUUCACUCAAGAUAACCAGACACUCCUAGAUCCCAUGACACCCACUGGACAAAAUAUAAGCAGAGACCAAGAACAACGCUCUGCACAUCUGGAGAGAUGUCACCUUGUUCUGCCCUGUGACUGGCAAAAACUGGAUACGACCCAAAAAGCAAUCAACAUAUAUCAGACAAGCUCCUGUUCACAUAGGCAGAAACAUACAGCAAUGAGGUCGAGAACACUGUCAUUUCAGGCAACUGCCUCACCAGAGUCUCCAUUCCACCCUACUCCCCAGAAGCAGCUGUAUUGAGGACAACAUGGCGUUUAUUUUUCAUGCUCACAACUCAGCUCUCAGCCAUGGACCAGAUGCAACCCUCACAUGGACUUCUGCGACCUUUGAUUCCAGCUUUCCCCUCUCUUUUCCUCUCUGUUCUGCUACACACACCUAGCUGUCUCCGCAGACCUGAACUAGCCACUUAGGUCUCAGCUCUCUACCACCCAGUGCUUGCCCUAACCUUUAUGUGCACAGCCAAGACAUCUUGCAGGGUAGCAGGGCAGCAGUCUGAGUCAGUUUUGUACUGUUGUCCAUUUUCUGAGAAAAGUUGCUGUAUAUGCUUUGUGUUUCUAGAGGGUUUUAUUUAAUGUAAAUCCACAUCAGCUGUAUUUACAUUAUCACGAUCAGAAAGAGAAGUUUCCCUGGCAUUGAAAGGUAACGUGCAAAGUUUAUUUACUCCCCCCAAAAAAUGUGAUUCCACUCUAAAGAUGUGCUUGUGUUUCGAGGAGGCAGCCAUGCGUUGACUGUGGUUAAGUUUCAGUUAGAUGUCAAGAUGGAUGUUACUAUGAACUGAUGUACUUGACACUGUAACUCUGUCACUCCGUAUCAAAGAUGAAGCAAAUUUAUCUGCUAAUAGCAGUCAUCAGACUGGGGAUCUUAUAAAGAGGUCAGGUUAUUUUACUGCUCGGUAUGGCUAGCUACACAUCAGGAAACAUAAGCAAGGGAACAGAUGCCCGGUAUUAGAGAAGGAGGGCAAUCAGAAAACCUAAAUGCUGGUGAGUGAGAUUUACCUUAGUGACAUUUAGCGAUGCCAGGAGAUGAUUUUGAUGAUCUCAGUUGGCAGGUGGGUGCUGUUAACAUGUAGUUGUAAUAGCACAGAAUAGCCUCCACCACCAAAAAUAAUUUGGUUCAAAUUGUCAGUAGGGCCAAGGCUAAGAAAUCUUGCUGUGUUCCCAGACUUGGAUUCAGAUUCUCGGUUGUGCUCUCUAUUGUCUAGGUUAUCUUGAGAAAAUUGUUGAAGUAGGACUUGCACUUCCAUAUGGUGAGGGUUAGUGAUAGAUAGUAAAAACAAUGCUAGAAAAAUAAUACGCCUUUCAUAGUUAACUGCUACUGUUUCUUUGUGUCAUAUUAGUCUUAUGUUUAGGUGACAGGCUCCUCAAUGUUCAGUUUGUAGUUGUUUUACCUUUGGGAAGGAAGAGGAAAAUUUAGUGCAAAAGAUAUGAGUUUGCAUUUAAGAGGUUUCCACUGUUCUCUUGGCUUAAAAAACAAAAACAACAACAACAAAAAGCCCAAAGUAACAGAAAUACAGAAAAGGAGGGGAGGUAAAGUGGAGGGAGGAGGAGGAACAGAAAGUAUGUGGGAGAGAGAGAAUCUUCUACACUUAAAGACUUCUCCUAGACAAAGGACAACUGAGAAUCUUGCUUUAGUUCAGUCUGUAUAACAUGAUCAACUAUAGUAUCAAAUAGGAGCUUCUUACAGAAAUGGGCAUAGUGUCUUAAGGUUGAGCUCUGAUGGUCACCGCUGAAUGCUAUACCCGAAUAAGGAGGUCUUUUCCUUCCUUGGUGUUCACACAGUGUCUGCUGUUCCUGGACCUGGCUAGCAGGUAAAUUAAAAGCAUCUGGUGACAGAGGCAGGGUUCACUGCGGUAUAAUAGGAAGAUGGAGUUCCAAGUUACAGAAGUCCUGUAGAGGAAGGUGAAGGGCAUCCAGCAGAAACACCCAUACUCUUAGCAAAUUUUGAAUUAUCCUCAAGAUGAUUUGUACCAUUUCCUCGCUUUGCUCAUUUCUAUAAAGAAAUCUUUAGUAAACCUAUCCCAGUCAUGCUUCAGGCACGUUAUGCAUCUGGAGAAAACUAUAGAUAAGAUAACCAUUGUAUCUUUAGGAAUUGGUGGUUUAUCUAUUUCAAUGACCAAUGGUUUUUUUAAAAAACGAAAAGUUGCUUCUUCUCUUGAAAAAUCACAGAGGAAGAAAAACAAAACCUAUAAAUUACUUGCCGAUCAAAUUAAAUCAUUCAGAUAUUAUGAGUGCUACCAAUUAUACGCUGGCCUCUUUGACAACCCUGGGCUUGGCCUGCCAUUUACAAUCAAUGGUUUCGGGAUAGGGAGGCGACUCCCUCGCCAUCACUAAUGACCUCCGUGUCAGCACAGUCUCCUAAAUACAUUGUGGCUUCCUUGCAGCAGAAUGCUGUCUCUGAGCAGAAGGCCCAUCUUUUGUCAUCCAUUUCUAAAAUCAGUUCUAUUCAUUUAAAUACCCACAAAACAUAUAAUUUCCUGUGUGGUCUCUAGUAAAUACAAAUUACAGAUUGAUUUAAAAAUAGCAGGCCUCAAAUUCAAUAAUAAAUUUUUAUAAGUGAUUAUUUGAAAUUUCAUUAGUCAAGACUUAAUUGCUGUAAGUUCUAUAUGAGUCCAUUGCAUAACUUCUAAACAUAUGCAAUUAUAUGUAAAUUUUAAUGACUAAUAAGAACGGUCUUAUUAAUUUUAAAUUAAAUGUACCUGUACUUUUGAAAAUAAACUUCAAGUGCCACUACAAAUAA